rnacentral:rRNA from 1 species
UACGAGGGGGGCGAGCGUUGUUCGGAAUUAUUGGGCGUAAAGGGUGCGUAGGCGGACAGGUAAGUCAGUGGUGAAAUCUCCGAGCUUAACUCGGAAACUGCCGUUGAUACUAUUUGUCUUGAAUAUUGUGGAGGUAAGCGGAAUAUGUCAUGUAGCGGUGAAAUGCUUAGAUAUGACAUAGAACACCAAUUGCGAAGGCAGCUUACUACACAACAAUUGACGCUGAGGCACGAAAGCGUGGGGAUCAAACAGG